rnacentral:lncRNA from 1 species
GCGAAACGAGCGUAGCUUCCUUGUCGUGUGGCCUCAGUCCUUCGCCGUCCCUCGCCGUCCUUCGCCAUCGCACGCCACCGCACCCCAUCUCUCGAAAUCUGCAGACAUCUUGAUUUUUCCCACGCUGUCUGUCAGGUCUCCGCCGCCACUCGACGCCAGGGCGCCGGGUGAGUCCACAGCAGGGCGCAUGGUCGGCUCCACUCUCACCAUCGGGGGAAACUGAGGCCCCGGGGAAGGCGGCCAGAGAGGUCAGGCCCUGUCCUUGGUGCAGUGUCUCGUCCUCUUUGCCGGAGUGAGCCCCCCAGGAUUCGCGUGUCCUCGGGAAAGACACUGGCAGGCCUUGUGGGCUGUGCUGCACCUCGGACGGCUUCGCACCAGCCAGCGCCCUCUCUCUCCUGCAGCACUCUGAUCUGCACCCCCUGAGGGGCUUCCACUGUCCGCGGGGUGAGAAUGCCCCUGGGAGUGUCACAUGACUGCCGCCCCAUGUGUGUGAGAGGCGUCCUCUGGGAGAGCAUGGAUCCUGAGGUCCCAGGAUUGUCAGCUGACCUCUGUCCUGUGUGCCCAGUGGCCCCAGGUGACGUGUCUUCAAGAAGAGGCUGAGCUGCGGUGCUUGUAAGGUCUCAGCCUUAGAUCCAAGGACAGUCCAAGGAAGUCCUAAGACCAUGGAGUUGGUGAUCUGGGAUCUGGGUUUGCUGAUAUUUCUCACCGUGAAUCUCUUGGUGGUGUUUGUGGGCACGAGAGGGGCAGAGAAUGGAGAGUGAGGCUACCACAUGAAGCGUCACCAGAGCUGCUCCCUGCUGCCUGCUCAGAGCACCCCGGAUCCACUGUUCAAUCUGCACAAGAUUCGGGGUCCAGACAUGGGAGACUUCAGCUGCCUCAGAGGACCGUGGACAGGGAAGGCCAGCCUCGCAUCCCUCUGUCCAUGCCUGGAAUGACUUUAAUAACCAAGAGUUUUAUUUUUGAAUUUGUAGCUGUCGUUCACUUUUUACCCACCCAUUCAAUAAACCUUACAGAAUUGCUCCAUGUGCUUCUUAAAUCAGUGACAACCUGUGAGCCUGCCAGGCUGGCUUUGGAGAAGAGGGAGGAAUCUACACAUGUCCC